AGGUCGUCUUGUUGAGUUUAUGGAUGAACCCCUGGACACCGACUGUCUGCGGGAACUUCACCCUCCCCGGACACACCGGGAGAGGCCAGUCAGUCUAUUGAAAUUAGGAUCCUGGGCCGCGUCCCAGCAGACAAGGGCUUACAACACCAUGGAGGUGUCAUAACGUUGUUACUCCUUGUUCCAGUUGGGCUAACCCUACAACUCUCCUUGGAAUGAUCACUCAUUCCUCAGACAGUCCCAAUAGCCUUCCUGGCACUCCAGUCGGCCGCUGCUCCUCUGACUCUGCUGGCUUCAAUCACUAUCAGUGGAAGUACCCAUGAGCCCCAAGCCACACCUCUACUCGCCUCCAGCAACACCUGCCUUACUCGCUCUGGUUCAUCAUUCAUCACCAUUCCCAUAAGUCAGCCUCUUCCGUACCAUCUAAGCCAACCUGCCUGUUGUCGGUGCUUCCUUUCACUUCUCCACAGUCCGCGACCAGAGCCUUCCCAGUCGUCCAAACCCCCAGAACCACAUCCCCCAUCUUCCCUACCUUCAAUAAACU